CGGACCGGCGCACGGGUGCGUAACGCGUAUGCAACCUACCUUUAACAGGGGGAUAACACUGAGAAAUUGGUACUAAUACCCCAUAAUAUCAUAGAAGGCAUCUUUUAUGGUUGAAAAUUCCGAUGGUUAGAGAUGGGCAUGCGUUAUAUUAGCUAGUUGGUGGGGUAACGGCUCACCAAGGCGACGAUACAUAGGGGGACUGAGAGGUUAACCCCCCACACUGGUACUGAGACACGGACCAG
rnacentral:rRNA from 1 species